rnacentral:rRNA from 1 species
AACGACUCUCGGCAACGGAUAUCUCGGCUCACGCAUCGAUGAAGAACGUAGCAAAAUGCGAUACUUGGUGUGAAUUGCAGAAUCCCGUGAACCAUCGAGUUUUUGAACGCAAGUUGCGCCCGAAGCCAUUCGGUCGAGGGCACGCCUGCCUGGGCGUCACGC